AACGCACAGGUACGAGGCGAUGGCACCACGUAAGCGAAGUCCGGUCUGAAACCGGCGCUGUCCCCGCAACUGUGACACUCCGCUCCCGCCCCGGCGGGAACGGAGUGGAGCCAGGUCGCCUUGCGUGGUCGCCG
rnacentral:ncRNA from 2 species